CCCUCAGACCGAGACCCUCGCUUCUCUGACCCCUAGGCGUCGCAGCCGGCCACCAAGCCUGGGGCUUCCUCGGGUUGACUGCAGUUUUUCAGAAUUGAUUUUAGGAACAGAACACAGCAGCCUGAACUUGAUUGUUAUUUUGACAGCUACAGGCAGAACAAGAUGGCCAAACAGAAGCCUCCACCAAUUGUCCUCCCUGCAGGAAGAUCAAAUUGAACAACUGUCCACACAAAGAACAUUUUAAUGAGAAUGAAAAAUCAGGUGAGUGAUCAUAGUACCUGGUUUUAACUUCAUACCAAUGAAAGGGGCACUGAAGAGGGUAGCAAAGACAGUCUUGAAUUGCUAACACCACCCCUACCCCAUCUCCCAGCAGUGGCUGUGUGGCACAGAAAGAGAAUCUCUGUGUUUAAGGGAGAGAGAGGGCAGUGAUUGUGGGACUUUGUGUUGGAACUGACUACUGCCCUGUCACAGCAGAAAGCAACACCAGGCAUAAAUCAGCCAGUACCCACAGAGGGAGCAUUUGGACAAGCCCUAACCAGCGGUCAGAACCUGAGUUCCUCAAGCCUCGUCACUGUGGGCUAAAAUGGUCCGUGGUGCUAAAUGAAAGGCAGUCUAGGCCACAAGGAUUACAAUUCUUGAGCAAGUCCUGGUGCUGGGCUAAGCUCAGAGCCAGUGGACUUGGGGGGCAUGUAACCUAGUGAGACAACAACCGGGGUGGCCAAGCGGGUGCUCGCACCACCUCUCCCCCAGCCGCAGGCAGUACAGCUUGCAGGUACAGGAAACUCAAGAGAGGAGAGGGAAGAGUAAAGAGGACUUUCCCUUGCAACUUGGAUACUAGUUCAGCCACAGCGGGAUAGGGCACCAGGCAGAGUCCUGAGGAGCCCAUUCCAGACCCUAGCUAACAGAUGACAUUUCUAGACACCUCUUGAGCUAGAAGGGAACCCACUGCCUUGAAGCAAAGGAACCAGUCCUGACAGGAUUCAUCACCCGCUGACUAAAUAUCCCUUGGGCCUUGAAUGGUCAGCAGGGGUACCCAGACAGUAUUUGCUAUGGACCUUGGGUGACACUCAGAGAUGUGCUGGCUUCAGGUGUGACCCAGCAAUUUCCCAGCUGUGGUGGCUACAGGGAGAGACUCUUUCUGCUUGAGAAAAGCAGAGAGAAGAGUAAAGGGGAUUUUAUAUUGCAGCUUAGGUACCAUGACCAAGUGGGAUUUAUCGCAGGGAUGCCAGUAUGA